rnacentral:rRNA from 1 species
UACGUAGGGUGCAAGCGUUAAUCGGAAUUACUGGGCGUAAAGCGUGCGCAGGCGGCUUUGCAAGACAGAUGUGAAAUCCCCGGGCUCAACCUGGGAACUGCAUUUGUGACUGCAUGGCUAGAGUGCGGCAGAGGGGGAUGGAAUUCCGCGUGUAGCAGUGAAAUGCGUAGAUAUGCGGAGGAACACCGAUGGCGAAGGCAAUCCCCUGGGCCUGCACUGACGCUCAUGCACGAAAGCGUGGGUAGCAAACAGG